rnacentral:lncRNA from 1 species
UGGAGUAAUAUUUAUGUCAUUGUUUUGGUAUGUCGUAAGAAAUGAAGUAUCCAAAUAUAAGGAAAUCAGAAUUCAUACACAAGAAGAUAAAUAGGAUGGAGAAAUUAAUCCUGGGUCAAUCAACCUCAAUAGAUCAUGGUGGUAAUAUAAUUGCAUUAAAUUCUUUUUCCUGUAAGACAUGUACAGUCUUCAUCACAUUGCACAAAAUAAUAUUUGAAAGUUGUCUAAAUCAACUAGUAAUCAACUAGCUUUGCUUCUUUACAAUAAAUUCAUUACAUUUAAAAUAGGAACUUCACACAACCUAACUUUUCCAUCUCCCAAAUUCUAAUUACAAAUUUUUCCUAUUUAAGCAUCUUGCAUAGUUUACAGAUGAGACGAUUACUAGGCACUGUGCCUUGCCUUGGAGAGCAUUUUUAUCAAUCUUUUGGUGAUUUUCCAGAACCAAAACACAUUCAUCAUCGUCAACACGGGAGGUAUUGUAAGCAAGCUGUAGAAACCCAAGGUGUAGACUUCCUUAACCUGAAAAAAAUAAAAAGAAAUUACCUCUUUUAUAAACAUAUACACAUACAUGCAUUAAAUAUCAAAAUCUAACACGGUUACACUUCAGCCCAUAACUGACUUCCAUUAUCCUUUGUUUUUUAGUUGCUAGAAAAGAUAAUAAAACAUGAAUGGAUAACACAUAAUUUCAAACAAAAAUAUAGGAUUUAAGAACGUUUGUGUUUUUUAAUUCCCCAGCAACCAAAAUGCAAUGGAAGUUAAAGAAUUUCCUAAGAUCAAAACAAUCUCAGUAGCACACAAUCACAGAUCAAUAUGCUUGCACAGUGCAUAAUGAAUCUCUAUGUGAUUCAAUUGACUAUUCAUUGAACUACAAACCAAGACGAAGCUACAAAUUAACCCAAUUGAUAUCUGGAAGUAUCAAAAAUAAAUAUUGUCAGAUGAUUUUAGUAUUUAAAAAUAAAAACAACUUGCAGACAGUUAAAGACGUAGGCUAUCUUCUUAAAGGCCUGCAAUUCAUAACUAUCCAGUGUCGGUCCGUCCACGCACCUGAUCAAAAUGGAUAAACAUGUGGUAGAAAAAGAAGACAAACAAAAGAAUCCUCGCAACCUGAAGGCAACACAUGUCACCAUAUUUUAUCAAGAAAUCAAAUAUACCUAUUAUACACGGUGAAAACUAACAGAAUAUGAAAGUAUAUAGUUAAUUAGCUUCCAGUCAUGCAAAGAGUUGAUGGUUAGAAUUUUUUUAUAAAGAAAAAAAGCUUACUUAAAAAAAAAAUCAAAUAGAACAUCAAAUAUUAAAGUAUUACUUGUUCAACCUAAUGUUGUGAAGCGACAAAGCUACAAAAUUAUGAGAUAUCUGUAAACUAUGCACACUUCUAAAUCAAAUGAACAAACAAAAGAAUACACACUUGAAAUAUACAUCACAAUGAAUCAUCUGCAGAUUUACCGUCACUGAUAGAGAUUUGUGACGCCUCCUACAAAACAUCAAAAAAUAUAAGCCACAUAAAAGUUUUAAUGCCAUUUGUAUUUUAUUAGCAUAUCCUCUGAAAUCUAACAAAAUAUUCGAUUUUUAACUACUAUGAAUAAUUUAAGGAUGGAUGCCUAAACCAAAUAAACUACUAAAGCCAGCGGCUAUUGCAAUUUGUAGCCAACGUGGAGCAGACCAUGGAUUUAGAUCAUAUCCUCUGCCCACAUUUAAGAAAGAUUUAUGUAGUCUUUAUUUCCUGAACCUCCCUUUACAAAUAACAUGCCAUUCACCAGAUUAUGUGGAGAUAACAUGCCAUUCACCAGAUUAUGUGGACAACUUCUUUCUUUAAGAAAUAAUUAUUCAUGCAUAACAUGUAUUACUUUCAUUUAUAUCAUUACAACCAAAUAGAAGUGAAGACCAAUUAAUUGUUUCGUAGAAACUAGUCACUACUGAGAUACAAAUACCCUAAAUAACACAUUUUGUAACUUCACAUCAUAUCUCAAGCCCCUACAACAUGCGGUCCACCUGUGUCCCAAACAAUUUCAAAACAAUGUAUAAACCUUAAAAUGAGUUUGUGCACUGGACAUAAACUACUUUUCUUUAUAGCUUUGUACCCCAACCCCACUCUGUUUCCAGAAUAAAAUAUUGCCUACAAAAUAAAAUAAAAAUAUCAUCUAUUUAACUCGAAUCAAAUGGUAGCACCAGCACGAUUAAAUCUCAGGGCAUCAAGUAUCGUGACUAAUUUCUGGUAACAAAAUAUUUAUAAAGCCCGAAUUCUUAAUUUAAUAACAGUUUGAAAUUUAAUCAGUUUAUACAAUGGCUUUCUUCAUUCACUUUUUUGGUACAGAAUUAGUCAAAAUCAAAAACGGAAACAAGUAAGCAUCCAAGUGAGAAAAUUUGAAAACAGAGAAAAUAACAGAAAUAUUAGCAGAGUGCAAAAAAAGAACAUCCAACAAAUAACAUAAUCUCUGCUUUCGUGAAAUUCAAAUUGGACAAGUGUUGUCCAAAAUAUGUUACAGAAAUACGCUGACUUGAUUCUCUAACAAAUUUAAAAGGAAAAAGAACAGGGAUUUUUCAAGUCAUAUGCACCUCUAGGUUUGAAAAAUGGGGGCAUAAGACUUUAAUAAAUUAGGUAGAUUAGGGCAAGUUUGGAUUUAGCAUAACAGGUAAAUUAGGUAGAAGAACAUAGGAACAGUUAAGGUGUAAAAUUAAACUGCAAAAUACCAAAUCGCAAGCCCUUACCGAAUCGAACUGAUGAGAUGAAGGAAAUCGCGAUUCCGAUUCUAGGGCACGUCGAGAUUUCAAGGGUAUAGGGCUCUCUAUUCUAAAGACUAUAGGGGCUCGAUUACUCUGAAGAACUCGUUCCCUCAGUCGAACUCGUUCUCCGAUUCCGAUUCCUAGUUUGAGAUUUCAGUCGUGAGGAGAGAGAAUGAUAAAACACGGGAGUGAAGUUUUAAAUUGGAGUGCUCUUCAAGGGGUAUAAA